AAUAUUUUUUUUCGUGAUAAAAGAAAACAAAAAAAAAUAUAAUGGCACACCCAUCAUGAUUAAAAGAAAGAGACAGCGAUAUUCUUGAUGGCAAACCAGCAAAUUCUAACGUUUAUACCCCAGAAAAUCUAUUAUUCCAUUCUGCUUAAGCCAGCAACUUCAUACUCAAAGGAUAUCGUUUUUUUUUUUCUUCUGUCAAUAGAAAUUGAUUUUUAUCAUGUCUUUUAUUAAAAUUGAUUUCACUGGUGAAUCAAUCAUGGACUAAAAGUAUACGAUGGAACAGAAGAUGGAAUACUCUCUCUGGAAGAAUUGAUGGUCAGAGCAAAUUACUUCAAAUUUUCCCAACAAAAUGCUUACAAUUUUAUAUGUUCAUUACCGCCGGGAAUAUCUAAUCCUAAUGUUCUAUAUUUUCCAGGUAUUUUUGGAAAUAAACAUUUUUGGAAAAUUCGGCUCGAAAAGUUGCUCGGGGCGCCCCUGAAGGACAUUUGCUAUACGGACCCAGUUUUGGCUAAGGGGCACCUUCUUUGUUUUUUCCACCCUACCUGCUAUCAUCACCCCAAGACCGGAUAAGGGACACUUCUUCUUCUUCACGGGAGACAGAAAAUUGGCGGAAUUCUUCAGUUCAAAUAUUUUGUUACGGCGAAUUUCUGGUGGAAGAUUUUGAGGCGAUUAAUUGAGACUCAAUGCCCGAUUUUGAUUGUUACAACCCUGUUUCGAUUAGACAAGGGUGGUAAUGUGUUUUAUCUCGACAAAUUUGGGUUGUGUGCGUGGGAAUGACGUGAAACAUGAUUGAGAGACUCACGGGAUUAUGUUGGAUUCGUUUUGGAAAGUUGGAGCGAGUAUAUAGCGUUGUCAUCUCAUUCUGGAACGUGUAUCAAUCAAUUUGGAGUGUGUAAACAACAGCUAGCUGCUUGAGAAGUUAAAACAGGGAAGAAAUUCCCGUAUCUUGCAUGUAAAUAAUUUUUAUUGAUUAUCAGGUAAUGGAGGAUAUUUGGGGAGUGAUGAGCGAGAUUUCUUGGUCCUGUUUGCUAUAAGAACACAGAA